CUGAGAAACAGAUCCUCAAGUGACCUUAAGAGUAAAAAUAAAUUGGUUUAUUUGGGCCAACUGUGUUGUCUUAAACACCCAAAAGGAAAGUAUAACCAAAAAUUAAAGUGAUCAGUAUUUCUUUAAGAAUUCAAAGGAUUGAACUUCCAAAACAUUAGGCUUAGGUCUCUAACUGCCCCCACUCCUCCAUCCACAAUGUUACAAUCAGGGCAAUACUGGUCUUGCUCCAGUUCUACUUUUCCUUUGCUGCUCCAAGAUAUAUACCUGUAUCUCCCACCAGUCAAGGAUACCUGCACUCCAGUCGCUCCCAUACCUAGAUUAACCCUGUAUGCCUCAGGAGAGGUACAUGAUUCUCUCUCCACAGGGGGAAAAAAAAAGGAACAGAGCAAAAAGGUCAGCUACUCUAGCAGUCCUGAUGGGAAGCAGCCUGGUAUAAUCCAUAGCCGCCACGGGAUUCACAGCAGGGAGUCUGGGACAUACCUUGCUCUCAGCCCAACACCUCCUCAGGAGAUCCAGGACCUCAAGCAGAAACUUACUAUAGUAGUGGAAGCAACAGCCCAGUCAAUCCAGAUCUCACAACAGCAACUGUCCUCCCUAGCCGAAGUUGCCCUCCAGAAAAGGACUUUGUCCAGAUGGACAAGCUGGAGACCCCUGCUGCCUGAUGGGACCCUGACUCCAGCCUUCCCUUCCCCAUGUGGACCUUGACCAGCAGGAAGUACUCAUGAUGAGAAAAUGCCACCCCCUAUCCUAUAACAAAAAAGGCUGUAAUGUUAGAGUCCAGGUCUGCAGAUGACCCACUCUGAGUGUAAAAAAGCCUCACAAGACAGGCCAUGAGGGCCCCCUGGCAAAAUAGGAACUGGCCAGACAGCUGCAUUUAGAGCUGUCUCAGCACAAAGCUGCUCCCCAGAUAAUUAUGGAAGAUAAACAGAUCCAUGCACCCAGACCCACUGAUGUAAGAGCUGUCUCAGUUCAAGCAACUUCCCUUGAAACUAUAAAGAUUAUUUUUGCCACCUUCCACAUUCCCCACCCCCCCUAUAAGAACUUCCUCAGCAGUCAGCAGGCUGCUGGUUCCCUUUCUCUCCCCAGCUGAGCUGCCAGCCACCAGCAAUCCUAAGAAAUAAACUUUGCUUUACAGGAGUCCUAUGUUUCCUGUCGUAUUCCCUGCCUG
rnacentral:lncRNA from 1 species